UAGAGUCCUUUCAGGAAUCAUUUCUUUAGUUUCUUCUAGAGAAGCUUCUCUGAAACGUGUGGAGCACCAGACACCACAAAGAGGAGAUGCCACAUUCUCUCCUAAGUGGACUCUUGGUAUUGCUGUGCUGCAAUUGCCAUUUGCUAAUGAUGAUCUUUUCUUACUUAGAGUAAGACAGAGAGGAGAAAGUCAGCCUGAGCAGA
ensembl:snoRNA U3 Small nucleolar RNA U3